UAAUCGGAGAACGAACCAUGCGUAUUCUAUCUGUAUAUUGUUUUUGUUAAAUCUAUAUUCAUAAUUGAAGUCUGAUAUCUCUGUUGAUCCUGUACAGACGUAGAAUAUAUCCCUAACAUUGCCAACAGACUUUUGGAGAAACAGGGGAAAGACAAAACGAAAUUAGCUCUCGAGAAAGUGAAAGAUGAUUUGCAGAACCUAAAGUCAAAACAGCAGAGGGAAUUGGAGGAGCUGAAUGUGCAACGCGAUGGUAUAAUUGAUGACAUACAGAAGUUUAAGAGGGACCUAAUAGCCCAAAUUGAAGAUUUGGAAACAAAUACAAUAAAGGAGGUACAGUACAAGUAUAAAGAGAUUGAAGGCGAAAUAAACACCAGCAGCAAGAAAAUUAAUGGCAUAUUGAAAGAUGUGGAAGAGCACAUUGGCAGGCUUUAUCAAUUCGAAAGUAAUAAUGAAGCCCAGCUUUUUGUAGCCAUUAAGAUUGGAGAAAAGAAGAUUUCAGACGGAAAUGAUUGCGUCAGACAAGCUACUGCCAAAAAAUCGAAACGUUGGAAUUUGAGAUGAACAGAAACAUAAGGGGUUGUCUCAAAGAGGUGCAGUCUCUUGGUAAACUAUCACUCCAGAUUUCGGAGAAUAAUAUUGGUCCUAAACAAAGUUUAUCAUAUAGAGAAACUGAGGUUGAUGACCAAGUACCAGGUAGUAAGCAUAUGACACUUCAAAGAAAAAAAUGUUUCAGAAAAGGCCCGUCAAGCAUGCACACAAGCUGGAGCUAAGUAAACUGAACCUUAUAACAUAUUUUUGACGAUUAUAUUAUCAAAAGAUUCUGUUGAUUGCUUCAUAUCUGCGUUUGGGAAUAUUAUCACAAUUGUGGUAACAGAUAUUACAUUUGAAAUCUACCUACAAUAAUAUGUUUGACAAUUUCUCCUUUUAAAUGAUUUUCUUUGAGUCAAAGUAAGGCAGAUGUAGAGGAACAAAACUAUGGUUCGGUUGAGGGUGUUAGCGUCUUUUAAACAUUUUAAUCAUGUAACUAAUGGUGUCUACUUGUACCGGUGAACUUAAUGUUAUACUGUAUAGUACUGCUUAACUGGAAUUAUAUCAUUUCGUAGACAUGUGAUAUUAUACCCUAUCCUGUUACAUUAUAUUGACAGCUGGCUGACCGGUUGUAGAACUUUCCUGCUAAUGCUUAGCACUAAUCGAGGCACUUAUUACCACUAUUUUCCAUAUCUUUGUUUCAACAUUAUUUUGAUAUUGUUGAGGUAGGUAAAUUUCGUAACUCUUUAAUCAAAUUAGGAAUGUCGUCUCAAAGGCUACAUAUCGAAAUUGGACGUCGAACUUAACCAAAUGCUACACCUAUAGGUGAUAGAAAAUGUACUGUAUGCAAAGAUUCAGAGGAUGAGUUCCAUUUAGUAUUAGAAUGUCAAAUAUAUAAUUAAAUGACCUUAGAAUUCAGUUAAUACCGAAUAUGUAUAAGUUACGUCCAAAUAUGACUACUGAAUAAAGAAAAUGUUGAAGUUCAGAAAAAUCUGGCAAAAUAUGUAUAUUUUACCUUUGAAACAGCUAAUAUUUUAAUUUUUACAGAUUUGUGCAAAACGUACAUGUUUAUAGUAUUAAUUUAUGUUUAAGUUAAGUGUGUAUUUUGUUGUUUUGUAUGUUCAUACAUUGUUAAGGGUAACUCCAAUAUUACAAACUAUGAUUAUCUCGAAUCUCACUCUUCUGACAUAUAUGUAAAAAGGCAAAUAAUUCUGCCUUAUCAGCUUAAUAUAUAUUCUGAUUGUUUGUAAAUCGUUUUGUUAAGAUCAGUCAGUCUUUGGCUUGAACUAGUACAUUUUACUAGAAGCUUACAUUAAAUGGUACUUUCUUCGAAGAAAAAGUUGUUUGAGAUGACCUGUUGGACAAUUUAACAGUGCAACUUAGGAAAGUGGAUCAAUUAGAUAAGUAAAUUGUAUUUGCGUUUUUGUCCGUAACAUGGUUUGUAGUUGUACUGUUUAACGGACAAAUUCCACAGUUUAUAUAAGACAGUUCAGCAUUAGACUGCUGUCUACUCUGCUGGUUUUGGUAUAUAUAGUUAUUUAUUCUUUUGCUCAAGUCAUUUGUAAUUUGUGUGCCAUUUAGUUUAAGUGGUAAAUAGCGAUCUGACUUCAAUCGUCGUUCAUGCUGAAAGGAGUUUGGGUGGGUCGAUGUAAAAAUAUUGCAUCUUUGGCGGUUUUUAUUGACCCACCUUUGCUUUCAAAUAAUUUGAAUUAGAUAGACACCAUUUAAAUUUGAAUAACAGCUUCUUUUGAGGUCUGAUGUUAAUGCACGUCAGUUUAAGAAAUUAAAAAUGACAGUUUCCGCACACAUUAUGUUACUCUGUUUUUCUGCAUCUAAAGCAAAUUGACAUACUCCUGGCAACCAUUGUAAGUAAUUGCAUGUUGAUUUUGUUUAGAAUAUGUUAAACAUCACAGUAAUGCCCUGUCCAACUGACUCAGCUGAACAGGUACUUUCCUCGAAGAAAAAGUUGUUUGGGUUGACCUGUUGGACAGUUUAACAAUUCAGUCUACUGUCAUGUGUCAUACUUACUAAACAUCCCUCUUAGUCGGGCCCUAUUUAUCACAGUGUGGGGAUUGUAUGGAACCGCUGCGUGAUCGGAUAAGUGACCUUAUUACGGCGCGUGAUAGGGCAGUAACGCGUGAUUGUGUCAGUUACCAUUUUAGAUCUGAUGAUUUAAAUAACAGCUUAUUUUGUUUUCUGAUAUAAAUGCACCCCAUAUAAAGAAAUUAAAAGUGACAGUUUUCAUUCAUAUAUAUGUAAUAUAACAGGGUUUGAGAGAUUCUGUUUUCUUCAUAAAUCAUUUGUUAAUAUGUUACGGAGACAGAUGAUAAGCUCUAAUGCUUGAAUUAAAUAAAUAUUCUAUUCUGUUCUGUUCUAUAAAUUUACUACAAAGAUAUGUAGUUUUCUGUAUCAGCUGUCAAACCUGUCACAAAACAUGUAUCCUAAGUUUUAAACAGGUAUACUUUGUUGUUUAUAUCAUUUACUUAUGACUUGUUGUAUUAAUACGCUACGUUACAUGAGUUACUCUGUUUUACUGCAUCCAAAGCAAAUAAACAUAUUCAUUGCA
rnacentral:misc_RNA from 1 species